CGCCCCUCUGUGGUGAGACUCGCCCAGGUCCAUGUCCGGCCCACCUCGCCCCAGCCAGGCUCCCCUGGGCAGCCUCAGAGCAGAGAACUCUGAAUUCACAGGGAGGCUGGAGGUGUGGGGCCUCUAGGCACUCGCAGGGUGGAGCUACCCCACACCCAGGGCUCACCCUCAGCCCUACCCAGGCGUCCCCAGCCUCACGCUCCCAGAGGUGAGGAGGGGGCUUCAGGAAAGUGGGGGCUACCUCCCCGCCCAGUACCUUCAGGCUCUGAAUUCGUACCUGGGAACUCUGCGUUGGCUGACUUGGGGACCGCUUCCCUGCUCAGCCUUCCCCUCUCUUCCUGCCGGGCCGUCCACCUAAGCUCCCUGACUCUUCCCACACGGCCCUGGGUCCCCUCCCCACAGGCUGCUCCCUGCACCCGCGGGUGGGACUGGACCCUUCCCUGCACGUCCAGCCUGCUUCCCGUGGUCUUCCUCCGUCUGGCCCUGGCAGGCCGCUCCUCUGGCCCCAGGCUGUGUGCCGACAGCUUUCCUCCUGCCCCGGCCCAUCGUCAGUGUCCUGAGCUCCUCCGACUCCCGCCCCUUGGACGGCGUCGCAGGCCUGGUCACAAGCUGUCGCUGGUAUCUAGGGCUCCUGGGACUCAGGCACACGGAGCUCCCUCGGGACCAACUUAGUGUCACGCGCAGGGACACCGGGGGCGCGUGCACAGGCCGUGUAACGGCUUUGCUUGGCGCGUCUCUGUUUCUCUUCUGAGAGGCUGAGCGUCGCGGAGUUUUCUGGUUGGAGGCUGUGGCGGACGCGAUUUGCUUCCUCAUACAGGGUUCCGGAGGCGGCGAAAAGUCCAGCGGGUCUCCGAAGCCUGCAGACGCAGCCAUGAAGAAGACCUCUGGCUUCAGGAGCGGGAAGUGCAAGCUGCCCGGCGGCUCGGUCAGCAGCCCGGGGAAGGUGGGCGCGGGCGCCGGGAGAGAGAGUGCGGACCACGCCUCCUCCCAGCCCAGACGCCACCACCCGGACAAGGGGAUCCACAGGCUCCAUAGAGCUGCGGGCCCGGACCAGACAGAGACAAAGCGGCGGAUCCUGUCUCUGCGGAAGAGCGGAGUGGAUGAUGACAGAGACGAGAAGAACAGGCUGUCCGCCAAACAGAGUUCUGGUGACUCAUGGCUUUCAAUAGAUGAUGAACUCUUUGAUUCUGAUACCAAGACUACCUUUGAAAAUGUUCCACAGAAAUAUGAUAGUCACUUAACUGAAGCUGAUGGUCAAAGAGGAAAAAGUACAAUAAAGGAACAAGAAGAUUCUCUUAAGCAAUAUCAUCACUUGAAGGUAAUAACUUUUCUAUAUUUAUAUUUAAUUAUUAACCACAUAGUAUAUCAAACAUAUAUUAUUUAUUAAUCGUUUUGUCUCAAAACUCUUUCAGCCUAAAGUUGAAAUCAAAGAGUGUAUUUCGAACCAGGCAGUCGGAAUGAAAG
ensembl:lincRNA